rnacentral:misc_RNA from 1 species
GAUAACAUCAUUGUGUUAUCUUAUUUCAGAGAUGGGUGGAAUAUCUGCAAUAUAACUUGUAGCGAAGUAGCUGUUUGUGAUUUCAUAGAUUAAAAAAACAAUUAUUUGUUACUCUAUGUCUCUUAGCUUUGUCAUGUAAGUAUAGCAUAGAAUAAUUUUUAUACUGUAGCCAUUUUGAAAUAUUCAUUGUGCUUAUGUGUAAAAUUUUAAAUCAACUACAUGAUAUCUGAUUGCCCUGUUUGGCGUAAGUAGCUUAUACAUGUGACUGACAUCUCUGGUCCCUCCCUGUGUACUGGAAUUCCUUUGAGCAGUCAUUAUAACCCAAUAUUAUGACAUCAUGUUAUUAAUUACAAAGACACUGUCUAGUCUAUUCUGACUUCUCAUUUAUAAUAAUAUUACUAAAAAAUUGUCUUGUUUAUAAUUGAACAAAAUGGAAUUAUUCUGUGUAUGCAUGACAGUGUAGAAUGUAGAAUUAGACCAAUAUCCCUGUAAAUCUAUAAGCGAUAUUUCUGUGUGAACAGCACUGAUAAAGUAGCAAGAUUAGUGCCAUGUCAAGGAGCAAGGCUUAGAAGGAUAUUAUAGGAAGAACAAUCGGUCAAUCCGUCUCCAAGUUAAAACAAUCAGAGAUGUAACACCCCCCUCCCCCACCCCAUCUGUACAGUCUGUUGACCUGUGGAUGUUUCACUUUAACUUUUUAAUUUUAUUACUAGCUCCUGUUUGUGUAAUAAAGCUCUUCUUAUCUUGUUUGUUGCAGUAUGACCUCAGUUUCCCCAGCUUUUAGAUUCUAUAAGGUCCGUGGGACAUCCUUCUAAGUCCGGCUCACUUUCUACAUUCCUUUCUUUAGUGUACUAUGUUGUGUCCAAUACAAUGAAAUUAAUAAAAAUAUACAAGU